UUGGCAAAAUUGACAGGGAGCUGACAGACAGUUGUUGACAUUGACUGAUAGAACAUCAUUUGUCAUUGUCAUACCAUUUGAGUUUGUUUUUCAUUUCAAUCUAUAUUUGUGUUCUGUGAAUUGAAUAGGAAAGUGCCUUAAAAGCAAUCUAGUUGCUUCCAAAAUGGACGAAAUCAUAAUCCGAGGGCUUCAAGCUUUCUAAAUAAGUGCAAUUAUACCCCUUUGCCCUUUUGAAAGAUCAUAAAAUGAUUUUAUUUCAGUAAAAUCGUUUCAAUAGCCAAAAAGUUAUUACUACAUAACCUAAAACGUUUAGACGUUUGACAAUUAGUAUGUGGGUGCGAGCGAGAAGGACAAUAACCCAACUUAUUUACAGCAAAUUGAGCCAUCUUUAAAUGUUAAAAGAAGCUUUUUCCCUUUUCUGCAUGUAAGGACAGUUUUAAGUUUCCCAUAUUGAUAUCGAACCUUAUCAUUAAAGAUGUUUAUUUUCCUCAAAGAAAAUGCCCAUGCAUUCGUGAUUUGAAGUCACAAUAUGACACCAGAGUUGACUUUGCAUUUGAAGAAUUGGAUCUUUUUAUAUUAUGAGUGGAACAAAGAUGGAUGUAUACAUUAUUGUAAAUAGUAGACCAUUUUAUUGAAAUAGAUGUAUUUAAUAGUCAACAAAUAUGACUCAAUAUAUUUCUAUUAUUGGAGA